AAUAGAUUGUAAGACAUGGUGAGGGAGGG
rnacentral:piRNA from 1 species